GCCUAGCCCUAAACACAAGCAGUAAAUCUUACACCCACUGCUCGCCAGGGAACUACAAGCCCAAGCUUAAAACCCAAAGGACUUGGCGGUGCUUUAGACCCACCUAGAGGAGCCUGUUCUAGAACCGAUAAUCCCCGUUCAACCUCACCCUCCCUUGCUUAUCCCGCCUAUAUACCGCCGUCGUCAGCUUACCCUAUGAAGGACCCAUAGUAAGCAAAAUUGGCACAGCCCAAAACGUCAGGUCGAGGUGUAGCGCAUGAGAGGGGAAGAAAUGGGCUACAUUCGCUGACUCAGUGAACCACGAAUGACACUUUGAAAUAAGCGUCUGAAGGAGGAUUUAGCAGUAAGAGACAAAAAUAGAGAGUUUCUCUGAAACUGGCCCUGAAGCGCGC
rnacentral:rRNA from 1 species